rnacentral:rRNA from 1 species
UAGGGAAUCUUCGGCAAUGGGGGGAACCCUGACCGAGCAACGCCGCGUGAGUGAAGAAGGUUUUCGGAUCGUAAAGCUCUGUUGUUAAGGAAGAACGAGUGUGAGAAUGGAAAGUUCAUGCUGUGACGGUACUUAAUCAGAAAGGGACGGCUAACUACGUGCCAGCAGCCGCGGUAAUACGUAGUUCCCGAGCGUUGUCCGGAUUUAUUGGGCGUAAAGCGAGCGCAGGCGGUUAGAAAAGUCUGAAGUUAAAGGCAGUGGCUCAACCAUUGUAGGCUUUGGAAACUGUUUAACUUGAGUGCAGAAGGGGAGAGUGGAAUUCCAUGUGUAGCGGUGAAAUGCGAAGAUAUAUGGAGGAACACCGGUGGCGAAAGCGGCUCUCUGGUCUGUGACUGACGCUGAGGCUCGAAAGCGUGGGGGGCGAACAGG